CGUGCUGGGCUGUGGAAGAUUCCAAAAACACGGGUUCUGAUCAUCAGUGAAAUGAAAGGACUUGAGAAUGUACUAAUCCACCAUGCAUUGCGCAACGUCAUCAAUGGCAUCCAUGUUGCUCUACAGCACACCCCAUGCGAGUACUCCAUUAAUCCCGGGCCGUAUCAAUAUUUGUCGGCCCACUCCUUCCACUGCUACGAAAAUGAAGCUGCCCUCUAUUCACGGUGUUUGUUCUGCAAGUCCGGCAAUAAAGGUGUGCGGUUACUUCAUAAAAUGAACAUUUCUACGAAGGAAUCAACACAGAAGGUGCCACUAACAUUUCCUACAAACCACCCAGACAACCUUAUGGGCCACAAGAUGAACAUUGUCUCAGUGUUACAUUUCCCAUAUGUGGACUAUACCUUGAACACCAACACACCUGGCAGCACCGUCACGCUGAACGACUCUGUCGACGCCCGCCUUCUCCUUACUCUGUCGGCUAAAUUCAA